CCCGUAGAGUUUGAUCCUGGCUCAGGACGAACGCUGGCGGCGUGCCUAAUAUCUUGGGGUGGAGGGACAGAUGGGAGCUUGCUCCGUGAUGUUAGCGGCGGACGGGUGAGUAACACGUGGGUAACCUGCCUGUAAGACUGGGAUAACUCCGGGAAACCGGGGCUAAUACCGGAUGGUUGUUUGAACCGCAUGGUUCAAACAUAAAAGGUGGCUUCGGCUACCACUUACAGAUGGACCCGCGGCGCAUUAGCUAGUUGGUGAGGUAACGGCUCACCAAGGCGACGAUGCGUAGCCGACCUGAGAGGGUGAUCGGCCACACUGGGACUGAGACACGGCCCAGACUCCUACGGGAGGCAGCAGUAGGGAAUCUUCCGCAAUGGACGAAAGUCUGACGGAGCAACGCCGCGUGAGUGAUGAAGGUUUUCGGAUCGUAAAGCUCUGUUGUUAGGGAAGAACAAGUACCGUUCGAAUAGGGCGGUACCUUGACGGUACCUAACCAGAAAGCCACGGCUAACUACGUGCCAGCAGCCGCGGUAAUACGUAGGUGGCAAGCGUUGUCCGGAAUUAUUGGGCGUAAAGGGCUCGCAGGCGGUUUCUUAAGUCUGAUGUGAAAGCCCCCGGCUCAACCGGGGAGGGUCAUUGGAAACUGGGGAACUUGAGUGCAGAAGAGGAGAGUGGAAUUCCACGUGUAGCGGUGAAAUGCGUAGAGAUGUGGAGGAACACCAGUGGCGAAGGCGACUCUCUGGUCUGUAACUGACGCUGAGGAGCGAAAGCGUGUGGAGCGAACAGGAUUAGAUACGCUGGUAGUCCACGCCGUAGCCGAUGAGUGCUAAGUGUUGGGGGUUUCCGCCCCUUAUUGGUGCAGCUACGCAUUGGGGCGUCGG
rnacentral:rRNA from 1 species